rnacentral:rRNA from 1 species
CCUACGGGCGGCAGCAGUGAGGAAUAUUGGUCAAUGGGCGGAAGCCUGAACCAGCCAAGUCGCGUGAGGGAUUAAGGCCCUGCGGGUCGUAAACCUCUUUUGCCGGGGAGCAGAGGUCCGGACGUGUCCGGGCCGGGAGAGUACCCGGAGAAAAAGCAUCGGCUAACUCCGUGCCAGCAGCCGCGGUAAUACGGAGGAUGCGAGCGUUAUCCGUUUUUAUUGGGUUUAAAGGGUGCGUAGGCGGGCAUUUAAGCCGGCGGUCAAAUGUCGGGGCUCAACCCCGGCCUGCCGUCGGAACUGGGUGCCUUGAGUGGGCGAGAAGUAUGCGGAAUGCGUGGUGUAGCGGUGAAAUGCAUAGAUAUCACGCAGAACCCCGAUUGCGAAGGCAGCAUACCGGCGCCCUACUGACGCUGAGGCACGAAAGUGCGGGUAUUGAACAGGAUUAGAUACCCCAGUAGUC